rnacentral:ribozyme from 15 species
AUAAAUAGAAAAUUUGCGGAAACGAAAAAAAAAAGAAAAGAAAAAAAGCGAAACCUAGUGUACAAAAAGAAUGAAUUCACACCUUCUUUUCAACAAUGGGUAGUAGGUUUUCUCUUACUUUUUUUUUUUUUUUAUUUUUUUCAUCCAAA